UACGUAGGGUGCGAGCGUUAAUCGGAAUUACUGGGCGUAAAGCGUGCGCAGGCGGUUCGUUGUGUCGGCGGUGAAAGCCCCGGGCUUAACCUGGGAAUGGCCGUUGAAACUGGCGAACUGGAGUGUGGCAGAGGGGGGUGGAAUUCCGCGUGUAGCAGUGAAAUGCGUAGAGAUGCGGAGGAACACCGAUGGCGAAGGCAGUCCCCUGGGCUAACACUGACGCUCAGGCACGAAAGCGUGGGGAGCAAACAGG
rnacentral:rRNA from 1 species